AAAGAAAAAUUUAGAUGUAUAAUAAUAGAUUAAUAUGAUAUAUAAAUAUUCGAAAUUUAUUUAAAUCUUUUCUAGUCAUUUCUUAGAAAAAUAUAAAAUAUAGCUGUACGUAUUUGCUGUGUCAGUGAACAGUUAUCUGGAAAAGGAGAUUUGUCAAAUUUUCGAGAACCCUCUCUUAUCCUACUAUAGUGUUUGACGUUAAAUUUCCAGAUACUAUUAGAUCUCCUGACCGAAUGGCCAGCCUUGGAAACACUAAAAUUUUGUAAAAGUGUCUGUCGGUGGUCGGUGAAAAAUAAUAACAAUAGGGUUAGUUGAGAGCAGUUUUACCUGUAUUUUACAAUAAUUAUGAAUAUGUAUUUUUUUCGGACCGGUCUGUUCGUAAAAUAUCUCCAGAACGAAACAUGGAAGCGCAUUGAAAUUUUAUCGGAUCUUCCAUUGAUUUCCCAGCUCAGGGUGGUCCCACUCUAAGAUUACGAUUUUUGAAAUUUAAAAAAUUCUACCAUUCGAAACUGUGCCGUACGAAGAUAUUAUAAGGAUUUUUGGGUAAAGAAAAAUGGCUGAAAUACUACUUCUAUGGAUAAAAAGCUUUAUAUGUGUGGUUUUGGAAAGUGUGUAUAUUAUUUCCAAUGAUAAAAAACUAUUCAAAUUCCUCGUGCACCUCUUUUUAUUGUACAGAUACGUACAAAAAGCCUGCAAUGAAAUAUCACUGCAGUCGAGCCAGUAUAUACUAUGUACAAAUAUGGGACAUCGUCUAUAUAUAUAUAUUUAUAUUUAUAUAUAUGUAUAUCGAUGGUGUAACAUCACAUAAUAGCUCCUUACAUUCUCCUUGAGAUUGUCGUGACCUUUUUUUUUUGACACAAACUUUUGUCAAUAUUGCUCGAUCUUGACCACACCCAGAUCCCGAAUCGGAAAUUGGACCCAGACACUAUUUGGAUUUUUUCCCGUAAAUUAAAUGUCGAAAUUUAACUGAUUACAGCCAAAUUUUAAUACGGAAUUCCGUCCACAGAUGGCGGCACCGCAGUUUUGCUGAUUUUGGGUGUCAAAGUGUGGCCAAGAUCGACUUAGGAACAGAACUAGGGGUUAGGUGAUCUAACAAUAUCCGCGUCGGCAGAAAAUUUACAUAAACAUCCUUGGCUUAAUAUCCUUUUCACUAACAUACUUUCAUUAAGGAGACGAAUUUUCUAUCACAGAAUAACACAGUCAUAGUAGGCAUGAUAUACACAGAAUAGAUGAGUGGUUGGUCGUAACAGAUAAUAUAUGGCCACGUAACUGCCACCAAAAUGUCGACUAGUUGGCGGUUCGAAGCCGAGAUUACGUGCAAUCGAAGAUAUUCUGCACAUUGAAGUAUAUAAAAUAAAAUCGAUCCGAGUUUUGUUAGCGAGAGAAGUGCGGAGAUAAGGCACAACACAUGUUUAGCUAAUGAUCUGUAACGUUUGAUGAAGUGGACGUGUGGACGUCGUCAUUAUUCUUAACAGUUUUCUGAUCAUUUCUAACCUAAUUGACUAUGGUGAAGUCUCAUUAAUUUUACCUGUAAAACGAACAAUAAAAUGUUUGGGGACUCCUUUAAUGAAAGGGAAUGAAUGAGAAUGCAAAGUCAGUUGACCGAAGUGUGAUUAAUGCGCAGAUAAUUCAGUCUUUCACGUGUCGACUACGAAUGAUACUUUACACUUUCGUCUAAAUGUGUUCAUGUUGGCUGUUAAAUGAUUCAUGGCGGCGGCCGUUAAUUUUUUAUGUUUCAUUCACCCCAAUUUUGCACACGCGGUUUAAUCCAAUUUAGAUCUUUUCCCACUAAAAAUAUACCGAAAUGGUUAUCUAUGCUAAAAUAUCUG
rnacentral:lncRNA from 1 species